rnacentral:rRNA from 1 species
UACAGAGGGUGCGAGCGUUGUUCGGAAUUACUGGGCGUAAAGGGCGCGUAGGCGGCCUUCUAAGUCAUGCGUGAAAUCCCCGGGCUCAACCCGGGAACUGCGUCUGAUACUGGAAGGCUUGAAUCCGGGAGAGGGAUGCGGAAUUCCAGGUGUAGCGGUGAAAUGCGUAGAUAUCUGGAGGAACACCGGUGGCGAAGGCGGCAUCCUGGACCGGUAUUGACGCUGAGGCGCGAAAGCCAGGGGAGCAAACGGG